UUUGUGUGUAGUGUGUGUAUAUAAUACAGUGUGUGUGUGUAGUGUGUGUAUUUGUGUGCAUUGUAUACACACACACACACACUGCAUUAUAUACACACACUAUACAAAC